rnacentral:rRNA from 1 species
GAGUUUGAUCAUGGCUCAGGACGAAAUUGGCCCGCGGCCCAUUAGCUUGUUGGCGGGGUAACGGCCCACCAAGGCGACGAUGGGUAGCCGGCCUGAGAGGGUGUCCGGCCACACUGGGAUUGAGAUACGGCCCAGACUCCUUCGGGAGGCAGCAGUCGAGAAUCUUCCCCAAUGGACGAAAGUCUGAGGGAGCGACGCCGCGUGAGGGAUGAAGGCCCUUUGGGUUGUAAACCUCUGUUAGGGGGAAAGAACAGCAGUGGGAGCAAUAUGUCCAUCGCCUGACGUUACCCCCAGAGAAAGCUCCGGCCAACUCCGUGCCAGCAGCCGCGGUAAUACGGGGGGAGCAAGCGUUGUCCGGAAUCAUUGGGCGUAAAGGGCGUGUAGGCGGUUUGGCAAGUCGAGUGUGAAAUCCCACGGCUCAACCGUGGAACUGCGCUCGAAACUGCCUUACUUGAGUGCGGGAGAGGUGUGCGGAAUUCCUGGUGUAGCGGUGGAAUGCGUAGAUAUCAGGAAGAACACCGGUGGCGAAGGCGGCACACUGGCCCAGCACUGACGCUGAGGCGCGAAAGCGUGGGGAGCGAACGGGAUUAGAUACCCCGGUAGUCCACGCUGUAAACUUUGGGCACUAGGUAUUGGGAGGUCUCAACCCCUUCAGUGCCGUAGCUAACGCGUUAAGUGCCCCGCCUGGGGAGUACGGUCGCAAGGCUGAAACUCAAAGGAUUGA